UACACUCCUACGGGAGGCAGCAGUAGGGAAUCUUCCACAAUGGGUGCAAACCUGAUGGAGCAAUGCCGCGUGAGUGAAGAAGGUCUUCGGAUCGUAAAGCUCUGUUGUUAGAGAAGAACACGUGCUAGGUAACUACUAGCGCCUUGACGGUAUCUAACCAGAAAGUCACGGCUAACUACGUGCCAGCAGCCGCGGUAAUACGUAGGUGACAAGCGUUGUCCGGAUUUAUUGGGCGUAAAGGGAGCGCAGGCGGUCUGUUUAGUCUAAUGUGAAAGCCCACGGCUUAACCGUGGAACGGCAUUGGAAACUGACAGACUUGAAUGUAGAAGAGGAAAAUGGAAUUCCAAGUGUAGCGGUGGAAUGCGUAGAUAUUUGGAGGAACACCAGUGGCGAAGGCGAUUUUCUGGUCUAACAUUGACGCUGAGGCUCGAAAGCGUGGGGAGCGAACAGGAUUAGAUACCCGGGUAGUCCCAU
rnacentral:rRNA from 1 species